AUUCAACUGACAAGUUUCAAAUAGGACGAAAUGGACGUCUAGGAU
rnacentral:hammerhead_ribozyme from 1 species